UUAGAACUUGUUGUCGUGAUGAUUUUAUAUUUUCUUCUAGGUCAUUGAUAAGAAUGUUAAAUGGCACAGGACCAGGAACCAAUCCUUGCGGGAACCCGCUAGAAAGAAAUCCACUCAACCAUGGUUCCCUAUUUAAAAUCCCAGUUUUUAAGCUAUUUAAUGUAUGCCAUGUGUAUUUUGUAUCUUUCUAGUCAAAAUAUUGUGCUGAACCAACCCAUAUCCCUUACAGAAGUCGAGGUAUAUUAUAUCAGUACUAUUAGCUGCAACCAGACUUUUGAUCUCAUCCAAUAAGAAUAUCCAGUUAG